GAACUUAGCAGAGAUGCUUUGGUGCCUUCGGGAACUCUGAGACAGGUGCUGCAUGGCUGUCGUCAGCUCGUGUUGUGAAAUGUUGGGUUAAGUCCCGCAACGAGCGCAACCCUUAUCCUUUGUUGCCAGCGGUUCGGCCGGGAACUCAAAGGAGACUGCCGGUGAUAAACCGGAGGAAGGUGGGGAUGACGUCAAGUCAUCAUGGCCCUUACGGCCAGGGCUACACACGUGCUACAAUGGCGCAUACAAAGAGAAGCGACCUCGCGAGAGCAAGCGGACCUCAUAAAGUGCGUCGUAGUCCGGAUUGGAGUCUGCAACUCGACUCCAUGAAGUCGGAAUCGCUAGUAAUCGUAGAUCAGAAUGCUACGGUGAAUACGUUCCCGGGCCUUGUACACACCGCCCGUCACACCAUGGGAGUGGGUUGCAAAAGAAGUAGGUAGCUUAACCUUCGGGAGGGCGCUUACCACUUUGUGAUUCAUGACUGGGGUGAAGUCGUAACAAGGUAGGCGUAGCGAG
rnacentral:rRNA from 1 species